ensembl:lncRNA
CUCUCUCUCUCUCUCUCUCUCUCUCUCUCUCUCUCUCUCUCUCUCUCUCUCUCUCUCUCUCUCUCUCUCUCUCUCCCUCUCUCUCCCUCUCUCUCUCUCUCUCUCUCUCUCUCUCUCCCUCCCUCUCUCCCUCCACCAUGCAGACCUGACUGUGGCUCCCUUGUUGAACACAGUGUGCUGGCCCCAAGCCUAAUAAGGGGAUCUGUGUGGCUGCCUCCUCUCCUCUUCCCUUCCGGCGACAAAUGUUGAGCGUGCCCAGGACUGCGUGGCGCUCGCUGCCCUGUGGCGAGGUACAGCCGAGGAGGAUGUGGAGGACUGGGCACAGGGACUGGGGAAGGACGGACACCGAGGGGAGAGGAAGAGGAGGAAGAGGAGGAGGGGGGGGGGGAGGGGGGGACGGGGGACCAAAAGGCUUUCUCUGGAACUCAGCCCUUUACCUGUUCAGCCUGUCUUCCAAGAGCGCUCUCAACGUGGUGAAUGCUUUGCUGUAUCAUGUAUACAUACCGGACAUUAAAAUGUUUAACAAAAGCUGAGAGGGUAGGAAGCUUCUGUGAUUUUUGUUGGCAUACAGCCGUCCCUCAAGACGCAUAUUGGGCACGUGAAAGAUUUCAUGGUAGGUGGAAAGCCUUAUCUCUUCAGAUCGGUUUCACGGCGUGAGAAUGUGUCAUUUCAGAGACGUCGAAAUGUGACGUCGCAGAAAAAGACAAGUCAUUUUUUCCAGCGCAUGUGGCUACAAAUGACUUCUCAUCUCUCUGCCAGAGAUUUUGUCCACCUCAGGGCUGGCUGGUGUUCAACAUUUCGGGGGGAAUGAGGCUCAGCCAACAGAAGAACAUUUGGGACUUAGCAGUCAACAACCUCUACACUGAUCCUCAGCAAGAGGCCAUUUUAAGACAAAACCCUCAAGAUUUAGACAUUUGAGAGCAGUUUGUUUACCAUAACUGGGUAUGCUUGUGAAUGUUUAUCCUAGAGGAAUAGUUGAGUAAUAAAUCUAGAGUGUGUUAUAGCCCAGUUCAGCUCAUACAGCAAUAUGACAGUCAUUCCUCAAAAGCUCAGUACCAUCCAAAAAAAACUAGAGGCCGAAUAUGCUUUCGAAACAGCUGCAUUCUGAUUCCUAUGUGCUACAUAAGGCUAUGUUAAGCUUUAAAUGCUAACUGAAGUGGUUUACUUUACAAAAUAAAAAUAAAACCAUUACAUUUGUAAAGCGAGCAAUUAUUUGGGA